rnacentral:rRNA from 1 species
UGACCUAAACCCUCACCAGAGUAACAAUUGGAGGGCAAGUCUGGUGCCAGCAGCCGCGGUAAUUCCAGCUCCAAUAGCGUAUAUUAAACUUGUUGCAGUUAAAAAGCUCGUAGUUGAAUUUCUGCGUUAUCGAGUUAUUGACUCUUGUCUUUAAUCGAUUUCGCUUUUGGGAUUUAUCCCUUUUUACUUUGAGAAAAUUAGAGUGUUUCAAGCAGACUUUUGUCUUGAAUACUUCAGCAUGGAAUAAUAGAGUAGGACUUUGGUUCUAUUUUGUUGGUUUUUGAACCUUAGUAAUGGUUAAUAGGAACGGUUGGGGGCAUUCGUAUUUAACUGUCAGAGGUGAAAUUCUUAGAUUUGUUAAAGACGAACUACUGCGAAAGCAUUUGCCAAGGACGUUUCCAUUAAUCAAGAACGAAAGUUAGGGGAUCGAAGACGAUCAGAUACCGU